GCCUGAGCGGCUCAGUCAGUUAAGCGUCUGACUUCAGCUCAGGUCAUCUCACGGUUCAUGGGUUCAAGCCUCAUAUCAGGCU
rnacentral:tRNA from 1 species